rnacentral:rRNA from 1 species
UACAGAGGGUGCGAGCGUUGUCCGGAAUUACUGGGCGUAAAGGGCGCGUAGGCGGUUCGGUAAGUAGGGGGUGAAAUUCCACGGCUCAACCGUGGACCUGCCUUCUAGACUGUCGGACUUGAGCACGGUAGAGGCAGAUGGAAUUCCCGGUGUAGCGGUGGAAUGCGUAGAGAUCGGGAAGAACACCAGUGGCGAAGGCGGUCUGCUGGGCCGUUGCUGACGCUGAGGCGCGACAGCGUGGGGAGCAAACAGG